rnacentral:lncRNA from 1 species
UAUAUUGAUAAAACGGUAAGGUAACAAAAGAAAGAAAGAGACCUCAAUAUUAUGUAAAUAGAGGAAAUUUAUCUAUACAAUAUGUUACAUUACUCGGUAGUCAAGAUAAAACUCUGAGUUUCAGAUGCCGAAGUGGAAAUCCACAACACCAUCUCUUCGGUUAUCUGGCUAUUUGAAAUAGGUUUUCAAAUAGCCAGAUAACCGAAGAGAUGGUGUUGUGGAUUUCCACUUCGGCAUCUGAAACUCAGAGUUUUAUCUUGACUACCGAGUAAUGUAACAUAUUGUAUAGAUAUAUAUAUAUAUAUAUAUAUAUAUUCUUUUACUCUUUUACUUGUUUCAGUCAGUUGACUGCGGCCAUGCUGGAGCACCGCCUUUAAUCGAGCAAAUCGACCCCGGGACUUAUUCUUUGUAAGCCCAGUACUUAUUCUAUCGGUCUCUUUUGCCGAACCGCUAAGUGACGGGGACGUAAACACACCAGCAUCGGUUGUCAAGCAAUGCUAGGGGGACAAACACAGACACACAAACACAUACACACAUACAUAUAUAUAUACAUAUAUACGACAGGCUUCUUUCAGUUUCCGUCUACCAAAUUCACUCACAAGGCAUUGGUCGGCCCGGGGCUAUAGCAGAAGACACAUGCCCAAGAUGCCACGCAGUGGGACUGAACCCGGAACCAUGUGGCUGGUUAGUAAGCUACUUACCACACAGCCAAUAUAUAUAUACAUGCAUGCAUGUAUGCGUGUAGGCACGCUUAUACACAUACACGCAUGCAUAUAUACAUACAGAUUUACACACACAGACACACAUAGACACACAUACAUGAAUUGAAAAAUAUAGAUUUAUGUUUGUGCGUGUGUGCGUGUGUGUGUGUGUAAUAUUUUCUUUCUUCGUUGCCUGUUUCACUUGGCCGGAAAAUAAAUGUUCUGUUAUCUCCCUUGACUUACCCACGUCCAGCUGAUGGUCGGUCUCACUCUCCGAUUGUCCGUGUGUGUUUAUGUGCCUUCGUGUCUAACACACACACACACACACACACACACACACACACACACACACUCUCUUGUAUGUAUUUUGUGUGUGUAUAUAUAUAUGUGUGAGUGUGUGUGUGUGGUCUGUAUAUAUAUAUAUAUAUAUAUAUAUAUAUAUAUAUAUGUAUGUAUAUAUACAUAUGAGAGUGAUGACCACUAUGUGGACAACCCUUAUGCUAGAAGUAGAUCCGCUAUGGCCAUCCCUCUCAUAUGUAUGUAAUACAAUUUUCUGAACCUUCAGAUUUUAAUAUGCUUGACCACUGGUGUUAAAUUGAUGUUAAUCAAAUUAAUAUCCAAUUCUUCACCCUCAUUUAAAAUGUUUUAUAUAUAUAUAUAUAUAUAUAUAUAUACACAUACAUAGAAGAGAAUGAGAGAAACAUCAUUUAAGCAAGUUUCUUACCGCACCAAUUAGCAGCCUGUGAUGUCUAUCUCAUGAAAACUGAUGAACCUACGAGGGACAAACCUACCAUUGUCCUUUCCUGAAAUUCUCGGCCAAACAACAAUACUCUCUAAUCCCAAAUAUGUCCACACCACGCUAUACAAUAUGUCCAUCUAAUAUGUCUAUUUCCGUUAUUAGAAUAAUAUUAUAUAUCAGCAAAGCCACGUUUUUAAUCGUUCAAAAACCUACCAAAUUCAAUAUAGAUUUUUAGUUACCAUUUAUGUUUUUAUGAAUGUGAGAAGCGCUAUCUCUUUUUUUAAGAAUCAGGCAGUAAGAUUCUGUGAUGUUCAUGCCUUUUCGAGAACAUUGCCGCAGCAUUCCUUUACUCUAUCCCAAUGGUUGUCAACCAUUUUUUUUGACUUUGGACUUCCUUUGUUCUUAUUGUAUUCGGGUGGACCGUUGUAAGUUAUUCGACUAUUUAAAACAACCUAUUAUAUUUCUAUAACUAAAUAUUAUUAGCGAUUGUAAUUUUUUUUUAAAUGCUAAAAAUAUUUUGUGCAUUGUAGAAGCAUAACCGGUUUACUUUAAAAACCGAAUCUUAUAUGGAAACUAAAGGGUCAAGUGGACCACCGCACUGGACUAGACAACUCUAAUUUCCCUAAGAAAGUUUUGUGUAUCUUUCAGUGUGUGUGUGUGUGUGUGUGUGUGUGUGUGUGUGUGAGGGAGCGAGCGAGAGAGAGAGAGAUAGAUUCUUAUAAAAGAGAUUGCGCUUCUCACACGUACAGAAACGUAACGUUGAACCCCCUUCUUCGCAAAAUCACCGAACCUAGAACUUAACUACGGUCUACCCACAGCACUUAUUCAGCAUUACCUGACACCUUUGGGUCUCACGCUCCGUAUACAUACAUACAUACAUACAUACAUACAUACAUACAUACAUACAUACAUAUAUAUAUAUAUAUAUAUAUAUAUAUAUAUAUAUAUAUAUAUAUAUAUAUACAUAUGACAUGCGCGCGCUUGGACACACACACACACACAUAUGCAUACAUACAUGUAUUAUAAAUGGAGACGAAAUUAGAGACGAAUAAAGAAAGAA